UUUUUUUUUUUUUUUUUUUUUUUUUGUGUGUGUGUGUUUUGUCUUUUUGUUGUUGUUGUUGUUGCUAUUUCUUGGGCCGCUCCCGCGGCAUAUGGAGGCAAAAAGACAAAAUAAAUAAAUAAAUAAAUAAAUAAUUGAAAAAAAAAAAAAAAAGAAUCAAAUAGCAUUCCAAGGGAUUACCUCCUUGUUUUAGAAUCAAACUUUCAGCUUCAAAUCUGGGUAGAAAGAAUAUGAAAAACAUCUCUUUUGCAAGAUAGCAGGUUUGAAGUCACUAUUAGCUAACAAUGUCCUGUCAUCUUCAUCUGUAAAGAAUUUUACUUUUUAUUACAAAGCAAUCGUCAUCCUCUUCCAAUAAAGAGCUCUAAGCCAGGGCCCCAGGCUAACUUGUCCUCAGCUGUAGCAUCAGAGCCUCAAAUGGCGCUUGGCUCAGGAGGCAGACAUGCAGUGAGUAUACAAUGAGUGGAUUCAGAAAUAGGCAAAAAUAGGUGUCACACAACCACAGCACAGGUCUCCCUACAAACUAAUAGCAAGGCAAAGUCACAAAAUACAGACAUUUUUUAAAACUCUACUGCUGAAUUUAUAAAGCGCAGACUUUUAGCUUUGCUAGGAGACAUAAAUUUGGUAUUAAUUUGCAUUCCUUUUAUUAAGACUUUUAAAAAGUACUAUAUUCAGAAUCGGUUUUGUAAAUAUGCUGCUAAAUAAGCACAUAUAUACAUAUGCUAUAAAUAAGCACAGGGAGGCCUACUCAAUGUUCUGUAAUAACCUAUUUGGGAAAAAAGAAUGGCUAUAUGUAUGCAGAUAACUGAUUCACUUUGCUGUAUACCCGAAACUAACACAGCAUUGUAAAUCAGCCACAUUCCAAUAAAUUUUUUUUAAAACUAUGCAAAAGGAAGAUAUUUUGUAAAGAAAGUAUUGGGAUUUUGCCCUACUUCGAUAAGCUUGCUGUUGUGAAGGAGAGUUCAAAGCAGGAGAACUCCCAACAAAAAAACCAUGCAAGCUGAUAAGUAAGCCUGUCACAGUUCCAUAGGUGCUGACAGAAGACAUGGACUCGAGUCAAAAACAAAGGACUUUACUAGCCGCAGCAGGAGCAACAAGAGUAUCAGUACUGUGGCACCAUCCCCAAGUCACUCAAGGCAAUAUAGGGGGUGGGGGGGCAGUGGAGGCUGCAGACACAGUGAGGUGAGACCCAGGGGAGGAGCCUGUGCAUAGGGAGCCCUCUGCUUUUAUGACAAGCAGUAAGCAAGCUGGUUCAUCUGGAAGGCGACCAGGUGCCAUGAAGAACUGCUGUGCUCUACCUUCUCAGGACUGUCAGCUGCAUAAACAAUCUGAGAAAUGACCCUGGCAAAUGAAUAAAGUCUUGGGAUUUGGGUUCAUUCAGCAAGAUGCAGAAGAACACAAGAGGCCCAAAGCAAACUGUACCUCAACAUAGAGCGUAAUAGCACAAACGAAUAGAAUUUUAAAAUAAAGUUAAAGGGUUACUUAAAGAAUUAUGAUUCUAGUUCCAAAGGAAAAAAAAUGCAAAGAGAAAUUUUACAAUGCUAUUUUCACUACCUCUGAGACAAGGAUCAUAAGAUCACAAGAGAAAGAAUCCAGACUUUAGAUGGUUUAUCUUAAUAAGCAGCAAUUUCUAAAAAUCACUCCAAGGAGUUCCCUUGUGGUGCAGUGGGUUAAGGAUCCAGCUUUGUCCCUGCAGCAGCUCC
rnacentral:lncRNA from 9 species